UUCAGAGGAACCUGUUCUAUAAUUGAUGAUCCACGAAUUAAAUUACUUAUUUUAUUAGUUUACAUAUCGUCGUAGGUUGAAUAUUUUAUAAGAAGAUUAAUAUUCAAGAUUUUUAAAUAAAAAAUAAAUCAGAUCAAGGUGUAGUUUAUAAAUAAGAAGAAAUGGGUUACAAUUAAAAUAUUAUAAUUUGGAUAAUUAAUUGAAAAUUAAUUUAAAAUUGGAUUUGACAGUAAUUUUAAUAAAUUAUUAAGAUGAUUUUAGCUCUAAAAUAUGUACAUAUCGCCCGUCAUUUUCACUAUAAAGUGAAACAAGUCGUAACAUAGUAGGUGUACUGGAAAGUGUGCCUAGAAAGUCAAAUUAGAGCUUGUUAAAAAGCAUUUUAUUUACAUUAAAAAGUUUAUUGUGAGAAUCAAUAUAAUUUGAGAAAUUAAUAUUAUUAAUUUUAUAAAAUUUUUAAAAAAUUAGGAAAAAUAAUUUUUAGUUUUAUUAAAAUAAUGAAAUAAUUUUGUUUAUUAUAGAUUAUUAGUAUUGUGAAAGAAUUAUUAUAUUUAGUUAAUAGAAUAAUUUAUUUUUAGUACCUUGUGCAUCAGGGUUUAUUAAAUAAUAAUUUAAUAUUAAAUUUUCUCGAAUUUAAAAGAGCUAUAUAAUUAUAUUUUUUAAUGUAUUAUAAUUAUUAAGAAUAUUUAUAUAGUAAUGAGAUGUUAUUCGUUUUUAGAUUUAUCUAGUUUUUAAAGAAAUAAAUUUAAUUUAUUUAGUAUUAAUAUUGAUUUAAAUUUUUAAUUAUAUAUUAGUAUUAAAAAAUAUUUUAAGGGUUGAGCUUUAAAAUAGAAUUUUAAAAAUAAAAUAAAUGAUUUAAAUUUGUAGGAUUAAUAAUUUUCAUUUUUUAGUAUGUUAUAAUUAAUUUAGAAGUUAUUAAAAUUUAUAUUUUAUUUUAAUUUUUUUUAUUUAAAUAUUAAUAAAAAUUUUUAUUAUUAAAUAAUAAUGAUAAAAUUAGUAUAUAUUUAUUUAUUUUAAAUUAUUUUAAAAACAUGGCCUAAUGAUUAUAAUGUUAGGUCUAGCCUGCCCAAUGAAUAUUUAAAUGGCCGCGGUAUUUUGACCGUGCAAAGGUAGCAUAAUCAUUUGUUUUUUAAUUGAAAGCUGGAAUGAAAGGUUGAAUGAGGAAAUAACUGUCUCUAUUUAAUUAUUAGAAUUUUAUUUUUAAGUUAAAAAGCUUAAAUUUAAUUUGAAGACGAGAAGACCCUAUAGAGUUUAAUAAUUAUAUUAUUUAGUAAUUUUUGUAUUUUAUAAUAUUAAGUAUUUUAAUUAUUUAAUUGGGGUGAUUGAAAAAUUUAAUUAACUUUUUUUAUAUAUUUCCAUUAAUUAGUGAAAAAUUGAUCCUAUAAUUAGAUUAAAAGAUUAAAUUACCUUAGGGAUAACAGCGUAAUUUUUUUUUAGAGUUCAAAUCGAAAAAAUAGAUUGCGACCUCGAUGUUGGAUUAAAAUAAAAAUUUGGUGUAGAAGCUAAAUUAUUUGGUCUGUUCGACCAUUUAAAUUUUACUUGAUCUGAGUUCAAACCGGUGUAAGCCAGGUUGGUUUCUAUCUCUAAUUAGUUAAAAUAUUUUAGUACGAAAGGACCAAAUAUUUAAUUAAAAAUUUCUAUUUUGAAUUAUAUUGUUAUUUUGGCAGAUUAGUGCAAUAGAUUUAGAAUCUUUAUAUGUAAAUUUUACAAAUAACACUUGUUAUUAAAAGAUUUUACUUUAAUAAUAAUUUCUAGAUUAAUUUUGAUAUUAUGUGUUAUAAUUGGGGUUGCUUUUUUGACUUUAUUGGAGCGUAAAGUUUUAGGAUAUAUUCAAAUUC
rnacentral:rRNA from 1 species